rnacentral:rRNA from 1 species
AUUGAACGCUGGCGGCAGGCCUAACACAUGCAAGUCGAACGAGUGGCGGACGGGUGGGUAAUGUAUGGGAAACUGCCUGAUGGAUGGGGAUAGAUACUGGAAACGGUUACUAAUACCGCAUACCAUCGGCUGUGCCCAGAUGGGAUUAGCUAGUAGGUGGGGUAACGGCUCACCUAGGCGACGAUCCCUAGCUGGUCUGAGAGGAUGACGAGCCACGGUGGAAAUGAGGCGCGGUCCAGACUCCUACGUGAGGCAUCAGUUGGGAAUGUUGCACAAUGGGCGCAAGGCUGAUGCAGCCCUGGCGGGUGAAUGAAGAAGGCCUUCGGGUUGUGAAGUGCUUUCAUCGAAGAGGCGGUAAACACAGAAGAAGCACCGACUAACUCCGUGCGAGCAGCCGCGGUAAUAC